GUGGGGAAUUUUGGACAAUGGGCGAAAGCCUGAUCCAGCCAUGCCGCGUGCAGGAUGAAGGCCUUCGGGUUGUAAACUGCUUUUGUACGGAACGAAACGGUCCUGGCUAAUAUCCGGGGCUAAUGACGGUACCGUAAGAAUAAGCACCGGCUAACUACGUGCCAGCAGCCGCGGUAAUACGUAGGGUGCGAGCGUUAAUCGGAAUUACUGGGCGUAAAGCGUGCGCAGGCGGUGCUGUAAGACAGGCGUGAAAUCCCCGGGCUCAACCUGGGAAUUGCGCUUGGGACUGCAGUGCUGGAGUGCGGCAGAGGGGGAUGGAAUUCCGCGUGUAGCAGUGAAAUGCGUAGAUAUGCGGAGGAACACCGAUGGCGAAGGCAAUCCCCUGGGCCUGCACUGACGCUCAUGCACGAAAGCGUGGGGAGCAAACAGGAUUAGAAACCCGAGUAGUCC
rnacentral:rRNA from 1 species